rnacentral:rRNA from 1 species
GCUUAACACAUGCAAGUCGAGGGGCAGCAUUUCAGUUUGCUUGCAAACUGGAGAUGGCGACCGGCGCACGGGUGAGUAACACGUAUCCAACCUGCCGAUAACUCGGGGAUAGCCUUUCGAAAGAAAGAUUAAUACCCGAUGGUAUAAUCAGACCGCAUGGUCUUGUUAUUAAAGAAUUUCGGUUAUCGAUGGGGAUGCGUUCCAUUAGGCAGUUGGUGAGGUAACGGCUCACCAAACCUUCGAUGGAUAGGGGUUCUGAGAGGAAGGUCCCCCACAUUGGAACUGAGACACGGUCCAAACUCCUACGGGAGGCAGCAGUGAGGAAUAUUGGUCAAUGGGCGCAGGCCUGAACCAGCCAAGUAGCGUGAAGGAUGACUGCCCUAUGGGUUGUAAACUUCUUUUAUAUGGGAAUAAAGUUUUCCACGUGUGGAAUUUUGUAUGUACCAUAUGAAUAAGGAUCGGCUAACUCCGUGCCAGCAGCCGCGGUAAUACGGAGGAUCCGAGCGUUAUCCGGAUUUAUUGGGUUUAAAGGGAGCGUAGGUGGACAGUUAAGUCAGUUGUGAAAGUUUGCGGCUCAACCGUAAAAUUGCAGUUGAUACUGGCUGUCUUGAGUACAGUAGAGGUGGGCGGAAUUCGUGGUGUAGCGGUGAAAUGCUUAGAUAUCACGAAGAACUCCGAUUGCGAAGGCAGCUCACUGGACUGCAACUGACACUGAUGCUCGAAAGUGUGGGUAUCAAACAGGAUUAGAUACCCUGGUAGUCCACACAGUAAACGAUGAAUACUCGCUGUUUGCGAUAUACAGUAAGCGGCCAAGCGAAAGCAUUAAGUAUUCCACCUGGGGAGUACGCCGGCAACGGUGAAACUCAAAGGAAUUGACGGGGGCCCGCACAAGCGGAGGAACAUGUGGUUUAAUUCGAUGAUACGCGAGGAACCUUACCCGGGCUUAAAUUGCAUUUGAAUAUAUUGGAAACAGUAUAGCCGUAAGGCAAAUGUGAAGGUGCUGCAUGGUUGUCGUCAGCUCGUGCCGUGAGGUGUCGGCUUAAGUGCCAUAACGAGCGCAACCCUUAUCUUUAGUUACUAACAGGUCAUGCUGAGGACUCUAGAGAGACUGCCGUCGUAAGAUGUGAGGAAGGUGGGGAUGACGUCAAAUCAGCACGGCCCUUACGUCCGGGGCUACACACGUGUUACAAUGGGGGGUACAGAAGGCAGCUACCUGGUGACAGGAUGCUAAUCCCAAAAGCCUCUCUCAGUUCGGAUCGAAGUCUGCAACCCGACUUCGUGAAGCUGGAUUCGCUAGUAAUCGCGCAUCAGCCAUGGCGCGGUGAAUACGUUCCCGGGCCUUGUACACACCGCCCGUCAAGCCAUGAAAGCCGGGGGUACCUGAAGUACGUAACCGCAAGGAGCGUCCUAGGGUAAAACUGGUAAUUGGGGCUAAGUCGU